rnacentral:rRNA from 1 species
GACGAACGCUGGCGGCGUGCUUAACACAUGCAAGUCGAACGGAAAGGCCCUGCUUUUGUGGGGUGCUCGAGUGGCGAACGGGUGAGUAACACGUGAGUAACCUGCCCUUGACUUUGGGAUAACUUCAGGAAACUGGGGCUAAUACCGGAUAGGAGCUCCUGCUGCAUGGUGGGGGUUGGAAAGUUUCGGCGGCUGGGGAUGGACUCGCGGCUUAUCAGCUUGUUGGUGGGGGAGUGGCUUACCAAGGCUUUGACGGGUAGCCGGCCUGAGAGGGUGACCGGCCACAUUGGGACUGAGAUACGGCCCAGACUCCUACGGGAGGCAGCAGUGGGGAAUAUUGCACAAUGGGCGGAAGCCUGAUGCAGCAACGCCGCGUGCGGGAUGACGGCCUUCGGGUUGUAAACCGCUUUCGCCUGUGACGAAGCGUGAGUGACGGUAAUGGGUAAAGAAGCACCGGCUAACUACGUG